GACGAACGCUGGCGGCGUGCUUAACACAUGCAAGUCGAACGGAAAGGCCCUGCUUUUGUGGGGUGCUCGAGUGGCGAACGGGUGAGUAACACGUGAGUAACCUGCCCUUGACUUUGGGAUAACUUCAGGAAACUGGGGCUAAUACCGGAUAGGAGCUCCUGCUGCAUGGUGGGGGUUGGAAAGUUUCGGCGGUUGGGGAUGGACUCGCGGCUUAUCAGCUUGUUGGUGGGGUAGUGGCUUACCAAGGCUUUGACGGGUAGCCGGCCUGGGAGGGUGACCGGCCACAUUGGGACAGAGAUACGGGCCAGACUCCUACGGGAGGCAGCAGUGGGGAAUAUUGCACAAUGGGCGGAAGCCUGAUGCAGCAACGCCGCGUGCGGGAUGACGGCCUUCGGGUUGUAAACCGCUUUCGCCUGUGACGAAGCGUGAGUGACGGUAAUGGGUAAAGAAGCACCGGCUAACUACGUG
rnacentral:rRNA from 1 species